rnacentral:pre_miRNA from 1 species
AAAAUGGUGAGAGGGCUGAGGGGAGUUCCGGAUAGGGCUCCAGGGACCCCUAGGUGCCUGUCCCACA